rnacentral:misc_RNA from 1 species
UGACAAGCUGUCCUACGCCCAAGAUGAAAGUCUCAUCUGCAAAGGCCACACAAGAGGCAGAAACCAUGAAGUGCUGUGAUGAUGCUGAGGCCAUUCCUAACAAAGAAACUAGCAAGCAUCCUUGUAGUCCUCCCAGAGAAGCUGUCACACGUGCAGAGUCAAGGGAUAAUGUGCUGGCUAAAGAGAGCUUCAAAACUCCAAAGUUUGUCAAAUCAGCCGAACUGCCAUGCCCACAAACACCACUCAAGCGUAGAAGUCUCAGGCAAAAAAAUCUAAGAACGCCAGUUCUCGGAAAAGGCGAAACUGGAACUGCUCUUGUAGAUGACCAACAGAAUGAUCCAGAAACUCCGUUAGGUUUUAGGGCCAAGUGCAUGAAACAAGAGGCAGAAAAGACCAAUGAGAAAAGACUUCUGAACUGGGGACAAAGUAUAUGCAAUGAACAUAACCAACAAAUUCAAGAAACGAGUAAGGCAUGGACAGAAAAUGGAAGAGAAAAUGAAAAAGGACAACGGAGUGACCAAAGAAGCAUGAAACAGCAAGAACUCACUUCGAGCUCCAACUUCUGCUCCGAUCAACCUAGCACCAAACAGCCUGUAAUAUCUACAUGCAUUCGUGACAAUGAUGUGCAGGAUAAAUGUCAACAACCUGCAGCCAACUUAUCCAGCCAAGACAAAGGCAGCAGUGUGUACCUAGCACAUCUUGCACAGUCAAUGAAAGGAGAUCCCACAAAUGAUAAGCAGCAGCAAAGCGACACUAAUGGGGACAUUGAAACGUCUCAGAUCAGAAGCUCGGAGGAUCUUCGCAGCUUGACACAGUACCCUGCCCAAAAUUUAGAAAGACAUCAGGCAGUCCAGAAUGUGUCCCUGACCACAGAUAUGCAAGAGGACAGUACAAGUGAAAUGGAACUAGAUGAGGAUGAUGAUCUACUUUGCUUGACACAAACAUUAAAUCGGAUGCAAGCCUGCAGUCUUUACUCACGAAAUGAAGCCAGAGCAGCUGUCAUUGCAACAAAUACUACAGGAGAUGCCCUUGGAAAAGAACCAAAUGCUGAAUCAUAUCUAAAAGAUGAAAAACAAGUAGCAGAAAGAUCAAAUCUGGAGAUUACUGAAAAUGGAGAACAGAUGAAGAAACACAAGACGACAAAGGAAGUAAGAAACACAGGAGACAUAAUAAACAAUCCAAACGUAGGUAUACACCUUGAAGCCAGCGAUGACGAAGAUGACUCCUCCAUUUUGUUCAACAUUGAUGACGACGAUGAAGCAGCUGCAUGUGAUAGAUCGCACAGCUUUUUCCAAAUGAAGCUCACUCCAACUCCACUUAACUUUCUAAAAAGCUCCGGGGAUAGGAAUGAUUCAGAUUCUGAAGAAGAACUGUUCCCCUGGCUCGCAGACAAGGUGGAGCCCGAAACAAACAAGAGAAAAGGAAAACCAUUGUCUCAGAACGCCCCUCACGAAAGUGGCAUGAACAGACCCGAUUUUAAACGGUUGCGUUUUCAGCAGGAGGAUUCUGGGAGACAGCGCAGCAAUGCCAAGCAGUUCAGACCAGCCAAAAGAGUGACAAUAGUCGAUGCAGCUGCACAGCAAACUCGUGAGACAUAUGGGAAACGACAGCACACUUUUCCCAUCCCCUGCUACAAACGAGUGCACGUAAGGUCUUUUUAGUCUACUGCACUGGCAUGCUCACCAGGCUAUGCAAGCAUGCCUGUUUGCCAGCUCAGUCUUUGGCGGCGAAAUGAACAAAAGCUUGCACGACCUCUUUUGUCUUUCUUACUGGCAUGAUGAUCAGGCUAUGCACGAUGGCUCUGACAACUCAUCGGUCUGUGCUGGCCUCCCCCCACUCCAGUCUCGUCGAGAAGUUGAGUUCUUUGAGUCUGACAAUGAUGAAGACUUGGGUCAUGAUGCCGAAGACGACUACGAAGUUUAAAAGGAUUAACAACUGGCUGCUCCAAGGAUUUACCUUUGUUGUGCCAAUGUUGACACAAAAUUUCUUAUUGUUCUCGAGAAUGAAGAACAAGAAGUCAGUGAAGUUAGUACAUGUAUAAAAGCCGGUAGGGCUACCGCUCCUUUAUUGUCAGAGUCUUCUUGGGGUAAAGCUUGAGUUGUUCCAGAGUCUGUUUUGGGUUUAUGGUUGCAAGCUGCAAAGUGAAAUAAAGUUCCGUUAAAGUUUCAGCC